AUUGAACGCUGGCGGCGUGCUUAACACAUGCAAGUCGAUCGGUAACGCGGGGGCAACCCUGGCGACGAGAGGCGGACGGGUGAGGAACGCUUGGGAAUCUGCCUAUCAGCGGGGGACAACACGGGGAAACUCGUGCUAAUACAGCAUACGCUCUACGGAGGAAAGCCGGGGACCGCAAGGCCUGGCACUGAUGGAUGAGCCCAAGCCGGAUUAGCUAGUUGGCGGGGUAACGGCCCACCAAGGCGACGAUCCGUAGCUGGUCUGAGAGGACGAUCAGCCACACUGGGACUGAGACACGGCCCAGACUCCUACGGGAGGCAGCAGUGGGGAAUAUUGGACAAUGGGGGAAACCCUGAUCCAGCGACGCCGCGUGGGUGAAGAAGGCCUGCGGGUUGUAAAGCCCUUUCGGUAGGGACGAAAGCUCUCGACCUAACACGUCGGGAGGUUGACUUAACCUACAAAAGAAGCACCGGCUAACUCUGUGCCAGCAGCCGCCGCAGUAA
rnacentral:rRNA from 1 species